UGGGGUGCUAGUCAUCUCAGUAAUGCAGCUAACGCAUUAAGUGUACCGCCUGGGGAGUACGGUCGCAAGAUUAAAACUCAAAGGAAUAGACGGGGACCCGCACAAGCGGUGGAGCAUGUGGUUUAAUUCGAAGAUACGCGAAGAACCUUACCUGGGCUUGAUAUCCUAAGAACCUUUUAGAGAUAAGAGGGUGCUAGCUUGCUAGAACUUAGAGACAGGUGCUGCACGGCUGUCGUCAGCUCGUGUCGUGAGAUGUUGGGUUAAGUCCCGCAACGAGCGCAACCCACGUAUUUAGUUGCUAACGGUUCGGCCGAGCACUCUAAAUAGACUGCCUUCGUAAGGAGGAGGAAGGUGUGGACGACGUCAAGUCAUCAUGGCCCUUAUGCCCAGGGCGACACACGUGCUACAAUGGCAUAUACAAUGAGACGCAAUACCGCGAGGUGGAGCAAAUCUAUAAAAUAUGUCCCAGUUCGGAUUGUUCUCUGCAACUCGAGAGCAUGAAGCCGGAAUCGCUAGUAAUCGUAGAUCAGCCAUGCUACGGUGAAUACGUUCCCGGGUCUUGUACUCACCGCCCGUCACACCAUGGGAGUUGAUUUCACUCGAAGCCGGAAUACUAAACUAGUUACCGUCCACAGUGGAAUCAGCGACUGGGGUGAAGUCGUAACAAGGUAACCGUAGGAGAACCUGCGGUUGGAUCACCUCCUUUCUA
rnacentral:rRNA from 1 species